AAGCCCACCUCAAGAUGAGAUUUCCCAUGAUUUUAUAUCAGUAAGAGCCCUGAGAGAUGAUCAGGUUGAUAGGUUAGAAGUGGAAGUGUGGUGACACAUGUAGCGGACUAAUACUAAUAGCUCGAGGACUUAUCCAA
rnacentral:rRNA from 1 species